rnacentral:rRNA from 1 species
GACGAACGCUGGCGGCGUGCUUAACACAUGCAAGUCGAACGAUGAAGCUGGAGCUUGCUCCGGUGGAUUAGUGGCGAACGGGUGAGUAACACGUGAGAAAUCUGCCCUUGACUCUGGGAUAACUGCGGGAAACUGUAGCUAAUACCGGAUAUUUUCCUUGGUGGGCAUCCACUGGGGAAGAAAGAAUUUCGGUCAAGGAUGAUCUCGCGGCCUAUCAGCUAGUUGGUGAGGUAAUGGCUCACCAAGGCGACGACGGGUAGCCGGCCUGAGAGGGGGACCGGCCAAACUGGGACUGAGACACGGCCCAGACUCCUACGGGAGGCAGCAGUGGGGAAUAUUGCACAAUGGGCGCAAGCCUGAUGCAGCAACGCCGCGUGAGGGAUGAAGGCCUUCGGGUUGUAAACCUCUUUUAGCAGGGAAGAAGCGAAAGUGACGGUACCUGCAGAAAAAGCACCGGCUAACUACGUGCCAGCAGCCGCCGUAA